rnacentral:misc_RNA from 1 species
CCGAGUUUAUAUUCACCAACCCAUUGUGAACAUACCUACGUUGCUUCGGCGGCGGGCCUCGCGCCCCCGCCGGGGACCCAAACACUAUAUUUUACCCAGUGUAUCUCUGAGUGAACCAUAAAUAAAUCA